GCAGGUCGUAGCUGAAGCUGUGAUGUCAAGGAUGGAUGGACCGUUUGUCUUCGUUUUCUUGUCCAAACAAGUUUGCUCGCAUUCUCAUCUGUCUGUGGUGGUUCUGACAGUAUGGAGCAACGAUCAUCAGGUCAUCCCUGGCACAGACAGAAGGCUAACGGCAAGAGCAGAAAGCAGUCAGUAAUGUCAACAAUAAACCGAAGCUAACUUACCGAGGAGCCUGCCCAGAAGGGACAGGAGUUUCGGAUGGGGGGUGAGUUGCUGAGGGACAGUGCUCCAAAGGACAGCGCCACCAUGGAGCCUCCGAGCAGCAGCUGCAACAAGCCCAGCGAGAGCAGCGGACGCCCGGGCAGCAGCAGCCGAGAGCCCCCGCCGGCGAUCCGUGAAGAAGCGGACAAGCCACGGGCUCUAUUUCGGUGACACGGCUCUGCGAGCUGCGCAGCUCCGGUAACCGGGCAGCAAGACCCCGGCAGCACCACUGGGAGCGACAUCUGAGGCUUGAAAUACUGGACGAAAAACCCAGAAUCUCCCGGAACUGGAGUGUAUGGAGAGAAGUCGCUCUCACGGAUUAAAGGGUGGAUCCUCGGCGCGUUCAGUGGAGCUGCUCGUCAGACCUGCCAUGAUGGUGUCCAGCUUUAAAUAACAUGCUCUCUGCUGAACGCCAGGGUUUGGAUUUGGAUCGACUUUCACAUAUUUUGGCAGCAGGUUAACAGUUGGGACGGGGGAGGGGCAGGCCAGGUCAUGUGUAACAUGUAAACAGGACACGGUGUCUUCCAGAAAUCUCAAAUUAAAUAGGCCUACAUGAGGCCUAUAAUAGCCUACUACA